rnacentral:lncRNA from 1 species
CUUUUCACAUCUGCAAGGACACUUGGAGGCAACUGCCCAAGGCCACUCUGAGGAGGGUUGAAUGUUCUUUAUUAAAAGGACUGAGGAUCAUGUGUGUUGGUGGGCCUUGGACUCUGCUCUAAGGAAGCCUCUGAUUAGGGCCCGGAACCAACUUCCUUUUCGCAUCUGCAGACUCAUGGAGGCAACCACUCAAGGCCACUCUGAGAAGGGUUGAACGUGCUUUAAAUUAAAAGGACUGAGGAUCAUGUGUGUUGGUGUGUCCUGGACUCUGCUCUAAGGUACCAGUGGAUGUAGCCGUUACUUCCUUCAGCAAGAUCACAAGUGAUUUCAGCAGAUGACCCAGUCUGCCUGAUGACUGACUUCGUUCUCCCUUCCAAGUUGGAAGAUUUCUGACUGGCUGCAAUGGGAACAACACAAAAUAUAAUGAGGAAUUCCUUAGUAUGGUACUCCUUGCAAAAGAAGAAAAUAAAACA